AGUCGGCCAUGUGGAGGAGCACACAUGGAAGCAGCAGGCCGAUGCGGGGAUCCGCGGGCGGAGCUCCGCCGUCUCCGGACCCUCUCCAUCUCGUGCUUCAGUGGGUCAAGGUCGGUGAGCAGCACACAGGGACCCUCCCCACUCGUUCUUCUCCUCUCUCCCAACAAUAUCCCCCAAUCUCGUGUUGUUCCUCGUUUUUCACCGGCGGCUGGAUGCCUAGGAGGAAGGAGGACGGGCGGCCUGGCUUCAACAGGAUUAGAAGGAGGCGGAUUUUGGCAUGGCCCUACAACUGCCAAGAUGGCGCCCCGCCGGAGUUGCUGUUCGUUCUAUCUCCCAGGUGAGCUCUUCCUCUCGUUCCUUCCUCCCUAUUUUAGUUCCUCUUCCCAUAGAGAAGAAGGAGGCUCUGCCAAGCCAUGGACUUGCUGCCACCAACCCUCACCGGCCUCCUCCCUCCUCUCCCUACACCCUCGUGAGCUUUCCCUUUUUAUUUUGAUUCACUCUCGUGGUCACCUCCCUUUCAGUUUGUUGCCUGCCAACUGUUUGUUGUUAUGCCUGUCCAAGCUGCCUUUUCAUAUAUUUGUUGGUAUACCCAUGUAGGCCUGUAUACUCCUGCUGUUGAGGGUUUGUGUAGCUUCUAGGCCAAGAAGCUGAGAGGGGUUUUCUUCUUUGAGUCGCCGGAACCAAGCGACAACGUGCUGCAGACUUUCUGGUCUUCUAUACAAGAGAAAUCAAAUGAAUAUGUUUAGUUUCUAAACUUUUCUUCAUUUUUAAAUAGAACUGCUUACUUAGACGCCGAUAUAUUUCUUUACAUGAAUCGGCACUAUGCUCUUAUGCUUUUAGUUAUACAUAUAUUUUUUUGUUGGUCAGGUUUUCAAGUUUCAACCAUUCUUACUUUCAAAUGAUUCUUUAGUUAGUUAUAAAUAUAGAAAAUUUGAUGCCUGGGAUACAUAUUUUUUAUGGUAUAUUGUGUCAGCUAAGGGAUCUCUUAUUUUUCUAGGUGUGCUACAUAGGUAUAUGUAGAUUUACUUUGUUCCAGUACCUGCUUUUGAUCACAGGAAACUAAAAAAAUAAAAGAUACUUCACAUGCAACAUCUUAUACUAUUUGAAGUUAUUUUGCAGACAUCGUUAGAUAUUUUUCUUCACUGUUCUGUUUAGCUAAAUAACCAAUUAAAUAAUUUAAUAUACAUUUUUUUUUGAACUAGGUAAAGAAAGUACGUUGCACUUUCUUAUAGUCUAUUGGCUGGCACUGGAAUUUUGUUUGUCUUCUAGAGCGACAUAGAACAUGAUAUGCUUCUUUAACUGUACAUGUUGUCUAUAUUUUGCCUCUUUAACACCCUCCUUUUCUAUCGAUACUCAGAUAAUUCAGCUUCAAAAGCACCAAAAAUUUAUGUCAAUACAUGGGUGAGUGGAGAUACUGCAUCACUUCUUAUGUCUUGCCUGCGUUUGAAGUGUUGGAGUUCUUAAAUUCUUGAUGAAGAGGAUUUUGGAGGUACGUGCCGCCGGUGCUCGUGGCGCUUAAUUAACUGCAGCAGCAGAAUUUGGAUUAUUAAUGCAGAUGAACCCUCUGUUUCAGAAAGCUAUGGUUGGCUUCGGACUGGAAGGACAUGUCUAGCAGCGGCUAUUUAUCGGAGAGGCUAUCGUUCCUUUAUGGUCAUAAGAAUGGCUUCUCUUUGGAAGUGGAAAUGGAAUCAGCACAUGAAGGCUUGCCCCUGACCUUGCAAGUGCCCCACGAAGCCGGUCGUGCAGUGAUUGUAACAGUGAGACUGAUACACAGCCCUAGAGGACCAUGUUCGCCGAAUCAUCGCAUGAACAUGGGUUGGGAGCUACACUAGAGUUGGCUCCUAGGUUUGGUCUGAAGAGGUUGGUUUACCUGUGCUUGAUGCUCCAGAUUCUCCGCCUGCCCUGUCCACUGCUCCUCCAACGGACAAAACAUCAACCACGUCUACCUUUCGUUUUCCGUUGUGCUCAUCUACCCAUUUCAUUAAUUAAAGACUGGCAAAAAAAAUAGCUGGGUUUGGUUUCUGCCUCGUGGUAUCUUUCUAUAUGAUGUAUCUAUAGUUCUUUGUUGCUACAUGCUGCCUUACUAAUAAACAAUAGUUACAGCAGUUUGCCUUUUUCAAAGGAAAAUUUUACCUAAAGUGUCAAAAUAAUCACUACUCUCCCAAUGCACAUAAGAGAAUGAGCAGACUGUGCAUCACUUCAAAAUAUACAAUAAGUCAGACUCAUGAUUAUUUUUGAGAACACAAGGAAUAUUGAAUUUUUAUGUUUUCCAUGUUUCAACCAUUUCGACAUAUACAAAUCCAGAUGGAGUAAACGGUGAUCAUUUGUGUCCCACAGUUUCGGGAAAAGGUGGAAAUAAAUGAAAAAAUAUAUAUAGAGAAAAUCAAAAGAACCUCUACAUAACAUAAUUUAUAGUGGUAUAAUAUAGAGGGUAGCUCAUGGAGCCACCCGGUAAAUCAGAAUUUACUGAUUGUAGGUCUCGCUUCCAAGUUCCAGCAGAGGAGAGCUCAUGUGAUUUGACAAUGCCCAAAAACGUUUUAACAUUUUCCACAAGUAUUUUACUGCAUAAAGUGUAAAUCAGCGUGAAUUUCACGGGAUUGCUAUGACAUUCUUUACAAGCAGUUUAUUGCAUAUUUUUUUAAUUCAGAGUGUAUCUGUCCAUGCUUUUGAACCAGCAAGAUGUUAUUAGUGCUGCUUUUGGUCCUGAAGCUUGCUCUGUAAUCUGUAGUAAUAAGGCAUUGCCAAAUUUAGCACUGCUUUUACUGUAGAGUUUUUCUUAACCUGGCUAUCAAGUUUCAGUGUGUUUCUGUAAGUAACAAUUAACAGUAGUAGUACCACUGUGUAAGUCACCAUAUUCUAUUGUAGGAUUAGUGUUCUUAGACCGUCAUUUUAUCCAUGCAUCGGAACUUGGCUUUAAGCGGUUUCGGUCACAGAGUACUCGAAGCCAAGAUUCGAUGCGGAUAUUUGUGGUGGCCUGAAGAUCCCCGUUGCAAGAAAAACCACAUCCUGUGGAAGUAAAGAAUCCGAUCAAAUCACUGUUUCAAUUCUUUUAGUAGCCUUUCAUAGUUUUAAGAAACUCUUCCAUUUGGAAAAGCAAAUGUUAUGUAAAUGAACUGGGACAGUUUUCUAUAGCAAACAUUAUGGGACCAAGUGCCAGAUUUUACACUAGAGGUCAACCAAUUUAAUAAGUAUGCAUCUCAAAACUUCAUAACUGUUGCUUUUGUAUCUUCUGUCAUCCUUCAUUGUGCAUGCUAGAUGUUCUCUUUUGUUAUUUCUAUCAGAUGGUUCUGUUGUAUUGUGCAUGCCAGAUUAUUUGUUAUGUAUGCCCGAGGUGAUGAGAAAAAAAAUCCAAGUAGGAUGCAUGGGAAAUGAAUUUAUUUGUGUGCUUUGUUGUCUACAUACUAAUUCAUUUAUUUCUGAAAUUUAGCUCUGUUUUGUGACCUGUCCAUGCAUGGUAUCAUCGAUAGUAUAUGAGUAAACUCCAAGGAAAAUAUGUUUGUGUUGGAUUGUUUUGAAGCUCAUGUUUCUGUUAAUUUUGUGAACAUUCAGACUUUUGUCCGAUGUUAUAUCUGAAUGUGUUUAUUUCAUAAGGUCUUGCUAUUUUCUGAAAUCAUUUGUCAGAUUUUAAGUCAGUGGUCUAAUUUCAUAUAUGUUUAUUGAAGAGAGAAAAGUAAAAAGAGCCAAGGAGAGAUGCCACCGAUUCGCACGUGUUGGAGCAUUUCACGGAUGGCUUGACUAUGAAGUCCACAUUGUAGUGAUUUUCCCUUCAUGUAUUAUUGAAAAUUGACCUUAGUGAUGUUUCUGUUAAUUUUGUGAACAUUCAGACUUUUGUCCGAUGUUAUAUCUGAAUGUGUUUAUUUCAUAAGGUCUUGCUAUUUUCUGAAAUCAUUUGUCAGAUUUUAAGUCAGUGGUCUAAUUUCAUAUAUGUUUAUUGAAGAGAGAAAAGUAAAAAGAGCCAAGGAGAGAUGCCACCGAUUCGCACGUGUUGGAGCAUUUCACGGAUGGCUUGACUAUGAAGUCCACAUUGUAGUGAUUUUCCCUUCAUGUAUUAUUGAAAAUUGACCUUAGUGAAUUGUAGAUUUGCAGAUGUGCUUACCAAAUCUGCAACAGGUAAUGAAUUUUACUUGGCAUAUAGAUUCUGCUUAUAGUAAGUAUUCUCCUCAUGAUUUUCUUAGUAUUUGACAUGAAGUUCAUGUUGAAAGAACUAAAGUGGUGAUUUUAAAUCCCUUCAAAAAGUGGUGAUUUUAAAGCAUAAGCUUUAAUUUUCAUCUGAUGCACUCAAACUGUGUUUGGUUCUCUACAUAGUUGUCAAAGCAUAUGAGGGGUGUGGUUAUAUAUAUAAGAAAUUGAUAGCAUAGUUUAUAGUUUUUUGCUUCUAUUGUUUGUUCUUUUUAUUUGAGGUAAUCUCUCCCUUUCCUCUCCUUGUUUUGUCAUGCUAGGUCUCCUAGGUCAGAGCCACGGUGCAGGAGCUCAGGUUUCGGUGGAGAGAUGAUACAGUGAUGAGAAGAUGUGCCCAGCAGCUAGCUAUAGUGGAGAAUUGAUUCGUCCGAUCCCCCCACCCUUGGCCUUCUACAGAGAAGCUGAGACUCGUGUACGAAGUCGGUGCCCUAUCGACAAAGGUGGUACAACUCUCACCAGAUGACCUCAGAGAUGAGAGCACAAUAACAUACUGGAAGAUAUGACGCUAGAAGCACACAAAUAAGCUAACCUGGUGCAAGCUGUGAUUCCAUGACCCAUCCCCGCUGUGACCCUGUUCCUGGAAUUGGCAAGGUGUUUUUGAAGUAUGCAGAUGCCAAGAGCUCGGCCAGGGCAACAAUGGAUGCAAAUGAGGAGAUUCGACAGGAAAAAGACGGUUGCCGUGUUCGCCGAUGGAGACUACGACGAAUAGAUUAAAACAAAUCUUGCAUAUUUGUUCUUUUUAGACUUUGAAUACAUUUAGCAGUAAGUUUUCAUGAAAUGUACUUAAAUCUCAUGUUAUUCUAAUAGUGGUGCAUACAGGAUUGCAUUCCGAAGUUAUCAGAAUACAAAUCUUUAAAACCGAACCGCAGUGAGUUUAUGUAGAUUUUUUUUUUU